UGUCACGGCCAGGCACUGGCUGUGGUGUGGAGGGAGCUCAUUACACUGCUGGGAGGAUUUUCAGGCUUGCUGUGAUUAAUUACAAAGAUAAAGUAAACCAAAACAGGUUAUUUGCAGGAAGGAAAGCAAGGCCAAGCUGAGGGCUGCUGGGCCUGGAGCCCCCUUGGCUGAAAUCCCAAAUGCUCCCCACUCCAUGAGGAUGCUGCUGGCCCCUGGUGCCUGCAUGGCCCCAGAGCUUGGUGGUGCUACCAGCUGAGAGCCAGGACUUCCCCAGGAUUCAAGGAAACAUCUACUUCUUGGUCAACUGGAAAAUAAUGCCUUACCCUUGGGUGACCAUGAACGAAACAGGAGCUCACUGAUUCUGGUCCAUCUUUCUUAGUCUCUUUACAGCUUAAGGACUGAGAAAAGAAUUGUGAAUAAUUGUAAAUGACUUGUGACAGCCGUGUUUCCUUUAUUGCUGCUCUGAGUGAAGCUGCUUGGUUGGGACAGCUUCCUAAGCCCUAUGGAUGGAGCACAUAGACAACCAGCAUGGCAGGAUGGAAACCUCACUCCAGGAGUACGCUACACAGCUGACACUUAGGUUUGGUUGGAAAUUUUUCAGCAAAUCAAAAUUUUGUUGGAAACCUCCCCACCGCUUUCAGGGUCCAAGAUACCCAGGCUCCUGAA